GGCUUAGUGGUCUAGUGGUAUGAUUCUCGCUUUGGGUGCGAGAGGUCCAGGGUUCAAUUCCCUGCUGAGCCC